rnacentral:rRNA from 1 species
UGGGGAAUAUUGGGCAAUGGGCGCAAGCCUGACCCAGCAACGCCGCGUGAAGGAAGAAGGCUUUCGGGUUGUAAACUUCUUUUCUAAGGGACGAAGGAAGUGACGGUACCUUAGGAAUAAGCUCCGGCUAACUACGUGCCAGCAGCCGCGGUAAUACGGAGGGAGCGAGCGUUAUCCGGAUUUACUGGGUGUAAAGGGCGUGUAGGCGGGAUGGCAAGUCAGGCGUGAAAACUAUGGGCUCAACCCAUAGCCUGCGUUUGAAACUGUCGUUCUUGAGUGAUGGAGAGGCAAGCGGAAUUCCGUGUGUAGCGGUGAAAUGCGUAGAUAUACGGAGGAACACCAGUGGCGAAGGCGGCUUGCUGGACAUUAACUGACGCUGAGGCGCGAAAGCGUGGGGAGCAAACAGG